UACGUAGGGGGCAAGCGUUAUCCGGAUUUACUGGGUGUAAAGGGGGCGCAGACGGCGAUGCAAGCCAGGAGUGAAAGCCCGGGGCCCAACCCCGGGACUGCUCUUGGAACUGCGUGGCUGGAGUGCAGGAGGGGCAGGCGGAAUUCCUGGUGUAGCGGUGAAAUGCGUAGAUAUCAGGAGGAACACCGGUGGCGAAGGCGGCCUGCUGGACUGCAACUGACGUUAAGGCCCGAAAGCGUGGGGAGCAAACAGG
rnacentral:rRNA from 1 species